UACGGAGGGGACUAGCGUUGUUCGGAAUUACUGGGCGUAAAGCGCGCGUAGGCGGAUUUGCAAGUCGGGGGUGAAAUCCCACGGCCCAACCGUGGAAGUGCCUCUGAUACUGCGGGCCUCGAGGGGGAUAGGGGCGUGCGGAACUCAGGGUGGAGCGGUGAAAUGCGUAGAUAUCAUGAGGAAUACCAGAGGCGAAGGCGGCUACCUGGACAAUUGCUGACGCUCAGGCACGAAAGCGUGGGGAGCAAAAGGG
rnacentral:rRNA from 1 species